rnacentral:rRNA from 1 species
CUACGGGUGGCUGCAGUGAGGAAUAUUGCACAAUGGGGGGAACCCUGAUGCAGCAACGCCGCGUGGAGGAUGACGCAUUUCGGUGUGUAAACUCCUUUUAUAUGUCAAGAAAAUGACGGUAGCAUAUGAAUAAGCACCGGCUAACUCCGUGCCAGCAGCCGCGGUAAUACGGAGGGUGCAAGCGUUACUCGGAAUCACUGGGCGUAAAGGACGCGUAGGCGGGUUGGAAAGUCAGGUGUGAAAUCCUACAGCUUAACUGUAGAACUGCACUUGAACCUUCUAAUCUAGAGUAUGGGAGGGGGAGAGGGAAUUAGUGGUGUAGGGGUAAAAUCCGUAGAUAUCACUAGGAAUACCUAAAGCGAAGGCGAUCCCCUGGAACAUUACUGACGCUAAGGCGUGAAAGCGUGGGGAGCAAACAGGAUUAGAUACCCCCGUAGUC